rnacentral:rRNA from 1 species
AUUGAACGCUGGCGGCAGGCCUAACACAUGCAAGUCGAACGGUAACAGGGAUCAGCUUGCUGAUUCGCUGACGAGUGGCGGACGGGUGAGUAAUGUCUGGGAAACUGCCUGAUGGAGGGGGAUAACUACUGGAAACGGUAGCUAAUACCGCAUAACGUCGCAAGACCAAAGAGGGGGACCUUCGGGCCUCUUGCCAUCGGAUGUGCCCAGAUGGGAUUAGCUAGUAGGUGGGGUAACGGCUCACCUAGGCGACGAUCCCUAGCUGGUCUGAGAGGAUGACCGGCCACACUGGAAAUAGGACACGGUCCAGACUCCUAGGGGAGGCAGGAGGGGGGAAUAUUGAAAAAGGGGCGCAAGCCUGAUGCAGCCAUGCCGGGGGUAUGAAGAAGGCCUUCGGGUUGUAAAUUACUUUCAGGGGGGAGGAAGGGAGUAAAGUUAAAACCUUUGCUCAUUGACGUUACCCGCAAAAGAAGCACCGGCUAACUCCGU